rnacentral:lncRNA from 1 species
UAGGCCCAAAAACACUUUAUAUUAAUAAUAUCAUCCAAAAACACUUGUAUUAACAUUUAUAUCCAAACAAUGUAAUUCAGAAGAUAAAUUAUCUAGCAACCAAGAGCAAAUGUUUCAAAUUUACAAGCCAAGAAGCCAUCAAAUCUUAUAGUGCAGAACUCCUCCCAUAUUCUCAGCAAAAUUCCAGCACAUAAACUCCCAUUGAGAACAACUACCCAGCAAAACUCCCAAGUCCAGUAGUUUCCUUAAACCUGCAUGUGCAACACUAAUUGAAUAUGCCCAGCACUAUCAUUAUAAAAAAUUAACUAUUACUGUAAAACUCUUAAGUUUUAGAUACAGUAAAAUCAUUACAAAUUCAAACUCAAUCUGCAUGUGUAGCACCAAUGAAUAUAGCCAGCACUAUCAUUAUAAAGAGCUAUUUAUUAAAGUAAAACUCUAAGUUUCAAAUGCAACUUAAAUAAACUACCUGCAGAAUCAUAAGGCAACAACACAAACUCAAAACAUCAUUUUGAAGGUUAGCCAAAUUCAAACCGUCAAUUUCAAUGAACAGAGCAAAAACCUGCUGCUCUAUUCUACUUAGAGUUUGCCUUAAUUCUUCAAGAGCUUGAACUUGCAUAGUUUCAUGUUCUUGAGCCUCUCUAAGACAACUCUCUAAUUCAGCUUUUGCUUCAUUGUUGGCACAUUCCUCAGUUAAUUCUUUAGCCUCCUUGGCUGCAGCCAAAGCAUUUAUGUCGUAAUAUUUUUGUUCUACAAGUUCUACUUGGUGUUUCUCAAUUGUUUCUUAAAGCAAAUUCUCUAUGGCUGUUUUGUCCCUCUUGAUGCUCUCUACUUUAUUUUCUUCAACCCAGGAGGACAAAGAUAAUACAAAUCUUUAACAAACUAUUGCAGUUCAUCAAAACAAAGUUCAGAAGUGUAAUUUAGUCAACAAAAGACGCAUCUACUAAGUUCAUUUAUGCAGUUAAAGCAAAAAAAAAAAGUUUAUCCAUCCCAAUACUUCAGAAAUUUCAUUUCCUCCCAAGUGCUACAGAAUUAAUUUUUCAACUAAUUAAAACUAAUAUGACUUUAAAAACUUCACUUACAUAAAAACUAAUUCUCAAUUACAAAUAGUCUGAGUUUGAUUAAACUCAAAAAACAUCACAAGACAUAAAAAGCCUGUCAAGAUCACAAGUAAACAAGAUUUUGCUAAAAUAUGCCAAAACGUCCAUAUUAUCUUCAUUUAUAUGACGAUUGAAGAAAAUAGCAGCUCGAUCUAAUAUACCAGCUAACUCUACAAUUAAAAAGAAUGCUUUGAGAAUCCAACUACCUGAAGUUUGGUAACCAAACCUUUCUUCUGCUCUUCAAGCUCUCUAAUCUAGUUCUUAUGAAAAGGGGAAUAAAAGAAAAAAGUAUAUUCAUUAGAAAGAGCAGUUGAGAUAAAGUCUUUUGAAAACCAAACAAUAUGUAAAACUGCAUGUGUACUUAGAGACCUUAAUUUCUGGAUUUGAGCUUCUUACGCAGUUUUCUUUUUUGAAAGCUCUUCACCUGAAAUGACAGAUGAAUGUUAAGCAGGGGCCUCAUCACAUAAUUAUUGGCUACUGCCAAUCAAAUAUGUAAAAUCCAAAUACAAUGCAUCUGCCAGGCAGAAAAAGCUAAAGAUAGGGAAAGGAAUGGUUUAAUCACUUUCUAUAGUUUUAAAAAUUUUGAUUUUAAAUAUAUCAUAAACUAAGAUGGAAAUUGCACAUUAACUAAUGCAGUAGUCAAAUUUUUGACAUACUAAAGACAAAAUCAUGGGAUGAAAACAAAAAGAUAUGCAUGACAUGCUAUUAGAGGGACAUAUGAACAUGAUUCUUCUUCCAAUAACUGCUCAAACUAUUAGUUUAAAAUUGUAACCGAAAAUAAAUGAAGAGAACUUAAUCCAACAACUCCCAAUUUAGGACUCACAUUUGAAAACAAUUUCUCGGUUUUAAGUCACAUUCCUAACCUAUCACAGAGUGGAACCUAUGUAAAGACGAGCAUGUACACACACACACCAAAAAACAAAAAAAAAGGUCUGGAACAAAAAGCAUACCCUUCUUUCUAGAGUUACAACGUAACCCUUUGACGGUAUUCCUCCCGUAAAGUUUCAAGUUCUAUAUCACUGUUUUUUUUCUAAUCCAAAACUUCAAGCUAUUAAAUCACAAAUUAAAAAAAAAAAACCUUAAAUCUCUCUAUCUCUAUCAUCUAAUGCAACUUCUUAACCAAACCCAUCAUUUCAUUUAGUCAAUCAGUCAGUCACUUACUCACAAACUCUCCAAAAUACAAAAUUUCUCUCAACCACUUAGGGCUUUAAACAAAAUUAGAUGAAGAAGAAAAACAAAACCUGGAAUUCAAGGUUUAGGGCUGCAAUCCUCUAGUUCACGUGACAAAGUCAGGGAGUUGAUGGUUCUGGUUGCGUCACGCCAUCGCAAUUUGUGGUCAUGGUAACCGACUUGAAUUUUGUCAUGGGUCUGUGAUUUGGGUGUUGCUUUGUCGUUUGCUCGAUGGUGGUAGUUGCUGAUUGUGUAUGGAAAACUAUAUAUAGGGAAUGGAUUUGGCUAGGUUUUGAGUGCUAAUUGUGAAAGUGAGAGUGAUGAUAAUUGUGCCUAGGGUUUGAGUGUCGUUUGUGAGAGUGAGAGUGAUAAUGACUAUGGUGAGUGUAGGCUAAUUGAUUGAGAGUGUCACGAUGAUUGUGGCUAAGGUUACAGUGCUGAUUGUGGAGUAACAGUGACGAUGAACGUGCCUCGGGUUUGAGUGGCCUUUGCGAGAGUCAGAAUGACGAUGGCGAUGGUGAGUUGUGUAGAGUUUAGGACUUAAGAAAUGUUUUUGCUUUGUUUAGAUUUCGGCUAAAUGCACCGUUUUGUACUAUAUAUUUUUUUUUAUUUCAAAAAUCAUUUCACAUGCUAAACGC